rnacentral:rRNA from 1 species
GAUGAACGCUAGCGGCAGGCUUAAUACAUGCAAGUCGAGGGGCAGCAGUCCCGCAGCAAUGCGGGAGCUGGCGACCGGCAAACGGGUGCGGAACACGUACAGAACCUUCCUUCGAGCGGGGAAUAGCCCAGAGAAAUUUGGAUUAAUACCCCAUAGCAUUACGAAGUGGCAUCACUUUGUAAUUAAAGAUUUAUCACUCGAAGAUGGCUGUGCGGCUGANAGGUAGUUGGCGGAGUAACGGCCCACCAAGCCUUCGAUCAGUAACUGGUGUGAGAGCACGACCAGUCACACGGGCACUGAGA